GAUAACUACUGUGCAGGUGCGGGGGUACUUAGUAGGGGGUGUGCGGUGGCCGGAAGCAGUGGCGGGAAGUCGCGUGUAGGCGGCGGGGGAAGGCCGCUCGGAAGGGCGGUGGCGCAACCCCGGGAGGCGUGUGGAUACUGGUCAGCUCGAGUCCGGAAGAGGAGGUUGGAAUUCCUGGUGUAGCGGUGAAAUGCGCAGAUAUCAGGAGGAACACCGAUGGCGAAGGCAGCACUCUGGGACGGUACUGACGCUGAGACGCGAAAGCGUGGGGAGCAAACAGGAUUAGAUACCCCAUUAGUC
rnacentral:rRNA from 1 species